GUAGUCCACGCCGUAAACGGUGGGUACUAGGUGUGGGUUUCCUUCCUUGGGAUCCGUGCCGUAGCUAACGCAUUAAGUACCCCGCCUGGGGAGUACGGCCGCAAGGCUAAAACUCAAAGAAAUUGACGGGGGCCCGCACAAGCGGCGGAGCAUGUGGAUUAAUUCGAUGCAACGCGAAGAACCUUACCUGGGUUUGACAUGCACAGGACGCCGGCAGAGAUGUCGGUUCCCUUGUGGCCUGUGUGCAGGUGGUGCAUGGCUGUCGUCAGCUCGUGUCGUGAGAUGUUGGGUUAAGUCCCGCAACGAGCGCAACCCUUGUCUCAUGUUGCCAGCGCGUUAUGGCGGGGACUCGUGAGAGACUGCCGGGGUCAACUCGGAGGAAGGUGGGGAUGACGUCAAGUCAUCAUGCCCCUUAUGUCCAGGGCUUCACACAUGCUACAAUGGCCGGUACAAAGGGCUGCGAUGCCGUGAGGUGGAGCGAUCCUUUCAAAGCCGGUCUCAGUUCGGAUCGGGGUCUGCAACUCGACCCCGUGAAGUCGGAGUCGCUAGUAAUCGCAGAUCAGCAACGCUGCGGUGAAUA
rnacentral:rRNA from 1 species